rnacentral:lncRNA from 1 species
GAGCUUAACUGUUUUGGUGAUAUCUUCACCACAACAAGGACAGUAUAUGUAAUACUUAUGUUGGUUCUUGAUCACAGUCUCCACAUCAUCAUCCAGUGAAUCAGGUUCUGUCUGUAAAUCUUUUGCUUUAGCUACAUCUUCAGUUUCAGAGUAUUGGUUCUUGUCUAUGGAUCUUGAACCAUUCUCAGUGUCAAUAGUUUCAUUUGACUCCGAUCCUAUGGGUGGGUAAAAAUUUCGAUUUUGAGCAUUCGAAAAAAAAAUGGGAAUAGUACUACUUCAUAUACUUUUUUUUUCUUUUGUAAGUAUCAAAUUGAAUAAGAUCAUAUAUUUUAUGAACUACAUAUAAGUAACUAAUCAGAAGUACAUAUAAUUUUCAGACCUUGUUCGUGGCUGAAGUCAACGCCAUCGUCCUUCUCGCUGCGGAGUGGCGAGUCCGGAGGCAGGUUGGUCAAUUCAUCGGUACAGACACUGUUGCCGGCGGAGCUUUGAGUUGGAGUUGGAUUCGUGGUAGGUUCCAUCGGAGACAAACAAAGUUGAGAUGCAGAACCAUGUUAUCACAAUUUAUGGUUACUACUUUAUCUGAAUAUUUUAAUUUCACGAGUUCCACGUUCUAUAAUAUAAUCCCAACUAACUUGACUUUGUUUUUUUAAAUGAAAGAAGUGAAGACAAACUGAUAAAUCUUGAUUAAAAAUCGAACUUUUUUGCUUACCUAUAAACAAAACAAGUUCGUGUACAAAAGGAGAACUCUGUUAAAUGAAUAUAAAGAAAGUAAACAGCUAAAGAACAACUCUUUUGGUAGCUUUGGUGUUUAUCUGAAACAAACUUGUAGAAUCUUGAAAUCAACCUUUUCGGUAUUCAGAGGCAAGCUCAUGAAAGCCUAACUUUUCAAAGAUAUCACUAGCGAUUUGGCUGGCGAUGAAAGAAAGAG